GGGGAUUAGGAGGGAUUGCUAAUCUAUUCUAAAUUAAUUUAAAAAUAUUAAAUAAGACUCAAGGACACAAAAAUAGGCGAAAAACUCUAAUAACUCGAAACACACUUAAAAUGACUCAAAAUAAUGAAAACAAUUAAUUUAAACACUAGGAACUGAAAUGGACGGAAAUUAAAUUAAAAGACUAACAAUAAAGAAAACUAACUAAAUAAUAUAAUUUAAUAAUGGAUAGGUGUUUGGUUUUGACUAGAAGUAAAUUAAACUUAAAUAAAUUACAGAAUUGAUAAAAACAUAAAAUUAAGGUAAAAUGAUAAAUGACGGACUAGC
rnacentral:lncRNA from 1 species